rnacentral:rRNA from 1 species
UACAGAGGUCUCAAGCGUUGUUCGGAUUCAUUGGGCGUAAAGGGUGCGUAGGCGGCGCGGUAAGUCGGGUGUGAAAUCUCGGAGCUUAACUCCGAAACUGCAUUCGAUACUGCCGUGCUUGAGGACUGGAGAGGAGACUGGAAUUUACGGUGUAGCGGUGAAAUGCGUAGAUAUCGUAAGGAAGACCAGUGGCGAAGGCGGCUCACUGGCCCGGAACUGACGCUGAGGUGCGAAAGCGUGGGGAGCAAACGGG